rnacentral:rRNA from 1 species
GACGAACGCUGGCGGCGUGCUUAACACAUGCAAGUCGAACGGAAAUGCCCUGCUUUUGUGGGGUGCUCGAGUGGCGAACGGGUGAGUAACACGUUAGUAACCUUCCCUUGACUUUGGGAUAACUUCAGGAAACUUUGGCUAAUACCGGAUAGGAGCUCCUGCUGCAUGGUGGGGGUUGGAAAGUUUCGGCGGUUGGGGAUGGACUCGCGGCUUAUCAGCUUGUUGGUGGGGUAGUGGCUUACCAAGGCUUUGACGGGUAGCCGGCCUGAGAGGGUGACCGGCAACAUUGGGACUGAGAUACGACCCAGACUCAUACGGGAGGCAGCAGUGGGGAAUAUUGCACAAUGGGCGGAAGCAUGAUGCAGCAACGCCGCGUGCGGGAUGACGGCCUUCGGGUUGUAAACCGCUUUCGCCUGUGACGAAGCGUGAGUGACGGUAAUGGGUAAAGAAGCACCGGCUAACUACGUG